UAGUGGUGGAUGCCUUGGUGCAACGGGCCGAGGAAGGACGCAUAUGGCGGCGAUACUCGUCGGGGAGGUGCCAAAAACCGAUUAUCCGACGGUUUCCGAAUGGGGUAAUCCAUUCGUGCGAAAGCACGAAUACUUCGUGCUUUGCACGAGGAAAUUCGAAGCACUAAUGUCGAAAUCUUUUGGGGUGAGGUUGAGAAGUGAGAAAUGAGUCGGGAAAUGAGAGUGAGAAGUGAGUAAAAAAAUAUUACCCACCCUCACUUCCCAUCCUCGACACACAUCUCAUAUCUCACCCGCACCCUAAUUAAGGUUUUCGGAUUUAGAAUUUCGGAUUUUCUCAUGCAAGGCAUGAGGGGGCAACCCGGGGAACUGAAACAUCUAAGUACCCGGAGGAAAAUAAAUCAAAUGAGAUUCCGUAAGUAGCGGCGAGCGAAAGCGGAUCAGCCUAAAUCCGGCUUUGCCGGAGGUUGUGGGGCACGGUAGGGAGUGUUUUUGGUAGCAGAAAGUUUUGGAAUAAACUGCCACAGAAAGUGAGAGCCUUGUAAGCGAAACUAAAAACACCUCGAGUGAUUCCCCAAGUAUCCCGAUGAAAGUACAUCGGGUGAAUCUAGGGAGGCCACUCUCUAAGGCUAAAUACCCGUUGUGUCCGAUAGUGAACUAGUACCGUGAGGGAAAGGUGAAAAGAAGGGUGAGACACCCAGUGAAAGAGUAACUGAAACCGCUAACUAACAAACAGCGAGAGGUCCGGCUUUGCCGGACUAAUCGCGUGCCUAUUGAAGAAUGAUCCGGCGAGUUUUCGAUAUCUGCUAGUCUAAUCAGGCUUGGCCUGAGGAGGCGUAGGGAAACCAAGUCUUAACAGGGCGAAAUAAGCAGCCGUCGGAAGACCCGAAACCGGGUGAGCUAAUCUUGGGCAGGGUGAGUCCCGACGAAAGUCGGGGGGAGGCCCGAACUCGUUGUCGUUGCAAUGACAUGAGAUGACCUGAGAUUAGGGGUAACAUGCCAAUCGAACCCGGAGAUAACUGGUUCUCCCCGAAAUAUAUAUUGGUAUAGCCUUUUGUAACUACUUUCUGGGGUUAGAGCACUGAAUGGGUAUGGGGUCGUAAGAUUCCGUUCUCAAAUAAACUCCGAAUACCAGAAAGACUAUCAAAGGAGACAGACUGGUCGGGCUAAGCUGAUCAGUCGAGAGGGAAACAGCCCAGACUUGCAAUUAAGGCCUCUAAUUUAUAGCUAAGUUAAAGGAAGUUAGAUUUCUCAGACACCCAGGAGGUUGGCUCAGAAGCAGCCAUCCUUUAAAGAAAGCGUAACAGCUCACUGGAUGAGAUCUCGUCCGUCUCGCCGUAAGGCGGGACGAGACGGAGGGAAAUUUGGCGCCGAAGAUGAUCGAGGAUUAAGCUAUAAGCCGAAAUUCAAGACCUCGUGCGCAGCACGAGGAAAUUCUAAGCACUAAGCACGAAAUUCGAAAUAAAUUCAAAUGUUCUAAAUUAAAAUUUUUAAGGAAUUUUUGAUUUUUAAUCAUUUGUAUUUUAAAAAUUGUUUCGGAUUUCGGAUUUAGAAUUUAGGAUUUUCUCAUGUUGUGCAUGAGUGUGGUAGGGGAGCGUUCUGUUGACGGUGAAGGUUACGGUGUAAGCCGGACUGGAGUUGACAGAAGUGAGAAUGCCGGAAUGAGUAACGAGAUUCCGAUGAGAAAUCGGAACGCCGAAAACCCAAGGUUUCCCACGCAACGGUCGUCGUCGUGGGGUGAGUCGGGGCCUAACAUGAGUCAGGCUUUGCCUGAGUAUUGGAUGGACAACAGGUUGAUAUUCCUGUACAGUGAAACAUUCGUUAUUACCUGGGGACUGACGAAGUCGGAAUAACCAAGCCAGGUGAUGAUUUACUUGGUUUAAGCCUUUAGAUAGUUUUGAUUGGAAAAUCCGUCGAAACGUUUAAGUCGAGAGGCGAUGAAGAUCCUGAGAUUUUCGAAGGAAAUUUGGUGAUUUUCAGUUUCCAAGAAAAGGUUCGCAGGGAGCCCGCCUUGACGCGAGUCAAGUCGCGGCAGGAAUGUUUUAUUCCCGUACCGUAAACCGACACAGGUGGGUUGGUCGAGUAGACUAAGGCGAGCGAGAGAAGGAGGUUCAAGGAACUCGGCAAAAAAUCUGGACGUAAGUUCUACGAGAUGUCCUGUCCAACCUUGUCCUUCGGACGAGGAAAUUCGAAGCGCUAAGCACAAAAUCCUAAACAAAUUACAAUUUUUAGAAUCCAAAUGUUUCAAACAAAAUGUUUUGAAUUUUUGGUAAUUCUAAUUUAGAUAUUGUUUAGUAUUUUGGAUUUAGUAUUUUGGAUUUUCUCAUCCGGAGGAUGAGAGAGGGCUACAACAAAAGAUUGUCAAGGGGCUGUUUAACUAAAACACAGGUUUCUGCUAACCCGCAAGGGUAAGUAUAGGAGCUGAAUCCUGCCCAGUGCCCGUAGGUUAAAAUUUGAGGUGAUCUUGUUUAUCAAGUUAGCCUUGAAUCUAAGCCCGGGUGAACGGCGGCGGUAACUAUAACCGUCCUAUGGUGGAAUUGCUGCCAUAGUAAAAUUUGACUAUAUGCUGGAAUAUCCGAGUAUCUUGCAUUACUAAAUUUAUGGUAAAAUAUUACCAUAGAUAAGUGAAAAUAUGACAAGUGCGGACAAUCAGCAGGAAAGAUUAAAAAUGAUUGGUUGGAUUGUAGGAAUAGCCGAUGGAGAAGGUUGUUUUACUGUCAGUAUCAACAGAAAUCCUACAACCAAACUUGGUUGUCAAGUUCUUCCUGAAUUUGUGGUCACACAAGGCGAAAAAAGUUUAAAAGCAUUGGAAAAAAUUCAGAAAUUUUUUAAAUGCGGAAGAAUUUUUGUUAAUCGCCGACACGAUAACCACAAAGAAAAUAUUUAUCGUUUUUGUGUAAGGUCAAUAGGUGAUCUUAGAACAAAAAUAAUUCCGUUUUUUAAAGAAAAUAAACUUCAAACAGCGAAGAGAAAAGAUUUAACUUAUUUUUCUCAAAUAGUUGAGAUUAUGUUUGAAGGUAAACAUCUUUCUAAAAAAGGAAUAACGAGAGUAGGAAGAAUUAUUGAAAAAAUGAAUACUAAAAAGACCCCGUCAUUUUUAAAAUCCUCAGAGACUACAUGUCAGAGUCCCGCCGAUUCGGCGGGAUAAGAUAUAGUCCCAUCUGCAUAGCGAUAUGCAGUUAAGAUUGAUUUGAGCGAAGUCCCUCGUCUGGUGAGUUCAGACCUGCACGAAAGGAUCCACGACUUGACAACUGUCUCGAACCUUCCCUCGGCGAAAUUGAAAUGGCUGUGAAGAUGCGGCCUAGAUGUUCUAGGACAAAAAGACCCCGUGGAGCUUUACUGUUACUUGGUAUUGAAAUGAAAGAAUGAUUGUUUAGAGUAGGAGGUAGGGAUGCACCAUACGGUGCGUCCCGUCAAUGAAACACCUCUCUUUUAUUGUUUCAGAUCUAACCAUCCCGAUUGAAGCAUCGGGAGGGACAGUGCCAGGGAGACAGUUUGACUGGGGCAGUCACUUGCUAAAACGUAACACAAGUUCACUAAGGUACCCUAAACCCGGAUGGAAAUCGGGUGGUUCGUGUAAAGGCAUAAGGGUGCUUGACUGUGAGAGCGACAGCUCGAUCAGGUGCGAAAGCAGGUCUUAGUGAUCCCCUAACUCGCAGUGGUUGUGGUUAGGGCUUAAAGGAUAAAAGCUACCCCGGGGAUAACAGGCUAGUCGCGCCCGAGCGUCCACAGCGCCGGCGCGGUUCGGCACCUUAAAUGACAUUGGGGUGAGGUAGAAGUAAUUCUAUUAGUCUGUUUAACUAAUAUUUCGGCUCAUAACGGUGAACACCUUAAUUGACUUUCGGGUAAUUUUCGGAUUAUCAUUGAGUUAAUGGUCAACACCGUGGGAAGUUUAACAGAAGAGCAAAAGUCCAUUCUUGUUGGCUGUCUUUUAGGAGACGGAACAAUGAGAAAAAAGAAAAAUGCUUAUUUAGAAAUAAACCAUUGUUUUUUCCAAAAAGAUUUAGUUGAUUGGUUGUAUUCGAAAUUUAGCGAUUAUGUUUUGACUAAGCCUAAAUGGAGAAAAACAAACGGAAAGAGAGAGGCUUAUCGUUUUUCAACUCAAAGUUUAUCUGUUUUUACAGAAUAUUACGACCGAUUUUUUUUAAACAAAAGGAAAAUUAUUCCUAAAAAUUUUAAGCUUGAUUGUUUAAGUUUGGCUGUUUGGUUUAUGGAUGAUGGUUGUAAGAAUAACAGCUCUAUUUAUUUAAAUACUCAACAUUUUUCUAAAGAAGAGCAAUAUCAAUUAAUUGAAAUGUUGUGGAAAAAUUUCGGCAUUGAAUCUACUCUAAAUAAAGAUAAGAUUUAUUUUAGAAUUAGAAUUCGGACAAAAAGUGCCAUGAAAUUUAUUCAAUUGAUUGAUAAGUUUGUACUACCGAAAUUUAAAUACAAAUAUCCUUCUGUUAUAACCCCGUAACGACUUGUUCCCGAUAUUUAUCGGGACAGAUCCCGCUUUGGCGGGAUAAAACGCUGACUCCUACUUUUUUUACCCGGACGGUAAAAAGAAGAGGAUGAAGGUAUAGUCUGGCUUACACGAAAAUGUAAGGUUUGGCGAUGUCGGCUCACCUUAUCCUGGGGGUGAAGAAGCCCCCAAGGGUUGGACUGUUCGCCCAUUAAAAAGGUACGCGAGCUGGGUUCAGAACGUCGUAAGACAGUAGAACUAUAGGAUACAUACUAUAGUUUAACGAGCUGUCUUUCUUUCCCGACGAUAAAUGAAAAAAACAAUUCUUUUUGUCCAAAACUAGAAUGGAAAGAUAUAAAUCUGGCUAUAUGCUGGAAACUCUUGCAAAUGGUAAUCUACUAGUAUACAAUUUACUUACUAGUAAAAAUGGUUACCCGCUCCGAUGUAACAUCGGACGCAAGACAAUCAGCAGGAAAGACUUCGGUAAAUUUUCAAUUUGAAAUUCGAAAUUUUUAAUCAAUUUUUAAUGAUUCAAUUUUUAAAAUUUAAACAUUAAUUAUUUGAUUUCAAAUUAAAAAUUAAAAAUUAAAAAUUAUUGAAGAAUCCCCACAGGCCAUACGCCAGAGCCGCCGAAGAGGCGAGUAAGAUAUGGUCGGACCCCUGCAGCGAUGCAGGGAGCAAAAGAAAACAAGAAAUCUUUUGCCUUUUUAAGUAACAACAAUGUCGGACUCUAUCCAGAACAUCCGUUUGAUUUUUGAGGAGAUUCCCCUACAGUACGAGAGGACCUAGGGGAGGGAACCUCUAGUGUGCCAGCUGUUCCUAUCAAGGGCAACGCUGGGUAGCUACGUUCCUAAAGGAUAACCGCUGAAAGCAUCUCAAGUGGGAAGCCCCCUCCAAGAUAAGAAAUCAUCCCGAUUUAAUCGGGAUAGACCCCUGGAAGACUACCAGGUUGAUAGGCGGCCGGUGUAAGUGCCGUAAGGCAUUUAGCCUAGCCGUACUAAUCGGUCGAUCGU
rnacentral:rRNA from 1 species